rnacentral:misc_RNA from 1 species
GAUGAAGAACGUAGCGAAAUGCGAUAAGUAAUGUGAACUGCAGAAUUCAGUGAAUCAUCGAAUCUUUGAACGCACAUUGCGCCCGCCAGUAUUCUGGCGGGCAUGCCUGUCUGAGCGUCAUUUCAACCCUCAUGCCCCUAGGGCGUGGUGUUGGGGAUCGGCCAAAGCCCGCGAGGGACGGCCGGCCCCUAAAUCUAGUGGCGGACCCGUCGUGGCCUCCUCUGCGAAGUAGUGAUAUUCCGCAUCGGAGAGCGAUGAGCCCCUGCCGUUAAACCCCCAACUUUCCAAGGUUGACCUCAGAUCAGGUAGGAAUACCCGCUGAACUUAAGCAUAUCAAUAAGCGGAGGA